ACCGAACGGAUCGCAUUAUAAUUAUCAUUAUUUGAUGAUUGGCGAUAGAUCAUUCAAGUUUCUGACCUAUCAGCUUUCGACGGUAGUGUAUUGGACUACCGUGGCAGUGACGGGUAACGGGGAAUUAGGGUUCGAUUCCGGAGAGGGAGCCUGAGAAACGGCUACCACAUCUAAGGAAGGCAGCAGGCGCGCAAAUUACCCAAUCCUGACUCAGGGAGGUAGUGACAAGAAAUAACAACACUGGAAAUUUGAUUUCUAGUGAUUGGAAUGAUGGGAAUCCAAACCCCUUUCAGAGUAACAAUUGGAGGGCAAGUCUGGUGCCAGCAGCCGCGGUAAUUCCAGCUCCAAUAGCGUAUAUUAAAGUUGUUGCAGUUAAAAAGCUCGUAGUUGGAUGUCUGUUGGAAGCAAUCAUCAGUCCGCCCUAUUUGAUUAGGGUGUGAAUAUGAUGAAUUCCGGCAUAAUUGUCUCCCUAUUGUUAAUAUUCUGAUUGUUAGAUUCAUUUCUAACAAUAAUACGAUUAUUAAUAAUAAGGGGGAAAUGUUACUUUGAGAAAAUUAGAGUGUUUGAAGCAGGCUUUUGUUGCCUUGAAUACUGCAGCAUGGAAUAACAAUAUAGGAUUUCGGUUCUAUUUUGUUGGUUCUUUUUUUAGGACUGAAAUAAUGAUUAAUAGGGACAGUUGGGGGCAUUCGUAUUUAACUGUCAGAGGUGAAAUUCUUAGAUUUGUUAAAGACGAACUACUGCGAAAGCAUUUGCCAAAGAUGUUUUCAUUAAUCAAGAACGAAAGUUAGGGGCUCGAAGACGAUCAGAUACCGUCGUAGUCUUAACCAUAAACUAUGCCGACUAGAGAUAGGAA
rnacentral:rRNA from 1 species